UGUAUCACUUGGUGACUUUGCAAAGCAGUGUUUAACAUGUUAUCAAACUGAAUCCAUCUCCCAAACACCAAUCAAACUGAAUAAAUAUUGAAAUUCGUUGAUUAACUUAGUUCAAAAAAGUGAUGGCUCCUCGCACAAAGAAACCACAAGCUUGAGAGGUUGGACAGUCAUCAAAUCAAGGGUGACAAUAUCCGUCAAAUGACUUCCCUUCACAACUUGAAGAAGUUAAUUAUGGUAGUAUGUCUUCCUAUUCAAUAAUUACUGGUCGAAGAGUGAGCCUUGCACCAAUGUAUGAUGUUCUGUUGAUCGACAAACUUGAAGGUAUAGGAUGGGUAAACUUGAUAAAUUUGCCUAGAAAGGUCUAUCAUCGUUUUUUUGCCCUUUUUUAUUUGCAUCUAAAACGUUCGAAUGUCGAAGAAGACGACUACAUAAUUCAGUCUUAUAUGAAAGGCAAAUUCAUUUCA